rnacentral:rRNA from 1 species
GACGAACGCUGGCGGCGUGCUUAACACAUGCAAGUCGAACGGAAAGGCCCUGCUUUUGUGGGGUGCUCGAGUGGCGAACGGGUGAGUAACACGUGAGUAACCUGCCCUUGACUUUGGGAUAACUUCAGGAAACUGGGGCUAAUACCGGAUAGGAGCUCCUGCUGCAUGGUGGGGGUUGGAAAGUUUCGGCGGUUGGGGAUGGACUCGCGGCUUAUCAGCUUGUUGGUGGGGUAGUGGCUUACCAAGGCUUUGACGGGUAGCCGGCCUGAGAGGGUGACCGGCCACAUUGGGACUGAGAGACGGACCAGACUCCUACGGGAGGCAGCAGUGGGGAAUAUUGCACAAUGGGCGGAAGCCUGAUGCAGCAACGCCGCGUGCGGGAUGACGGCCUUCGGGUUGUAAACCGCUUUCGACUGUGACGAAGCGUGAGUGACGGUAAUGGGUAAAGAAGCACCGGCUAACUACGUG